rnacentral:rRNA from 1 species
UGCAAGUCGAACGAUGAACCACUUCGGUGGGGAUUAGUGGCGAACGGGUGAGUAACACGUGGGCAAUCUGCCCUGCACUCUGGGACAAGCCCUGGAAACGGGGUCUAAUACCGGAUACUGAUCCGCCUGGGCAUCCAGGCGGUUCGAAAGCUCCGGCGGUGCAGGAUGAGCCCGCGGCCUAUCAGCUUGUUGGUGAGGUAGUGGCUCACCAAGGCGACGACGGGUAGCCGGCCUGAGAGGGCGACCGGCCACACUGGGACUGAGACACGGCCCAGACUCCUACGGGAGGCAGCAGUGGGGAAUAUUGCACAAUGGGCGAAAGCCUGAUGCAGCGACGCCGCGUGAGGGAUGACGGCCUUCGGGUUGUAAACCUCUUUCAGCAGGGAAGAAGCGAAAGUGACGGUACCUGCAGAAGAAGCGCCGGCUAACUACGUGCCAGCAGCCCCGGGUAAUUCA